GCUUUGAUUCCUGCUAAUACACUAACUCCCCGUUCCCUCUCCCUCAGGCCUGUAAGUGAUGUGCUCUGCAUGUGAGAAAUAGCACGGAUGCCCCCAUGCGCUCCCUGUGUCAUCCUCCCAGGGGCCCUGGGUGAGCUGACACCGGCCUCACCGGUGACGGGACUGAGGGCCCAGCAGCGCAGAGCUGGCCGGGGAAGAGGCUCCCACGGCACACUGUCUCCUGCAAGAACUGGAACGGACCUGCGGGUGUGUCUUAUUUCAAUGGAGACAGCGGUGGGAUCAAGCUGCCCGAGUUCCAUGCGGAUCACAUUCUCCAAAGAGGCUUCAUAAAACCAAUGUAGAAACAAACCCCCAAAUGGGUAAGAGCUGCAUCUUUCAGAGUAGAACUUGCAGAAGACAGAAUCAGGAAUUCCCAUUCUUAGCCUGAUGAUCUAGUUACCUGAAUAAGAAUUCUACAUAAAGAACUUGACGCCGAACAUCAGGUAAAUGCCAAAUGCAGCGUGGGCCAAACAAAAAUUGAAAACUGGAAGAAUUAGGCCAUGGCGUCAAAACUUCGCUAAGGAAAAUGACUCCAAAAAGCCUUAAAGAAUAUCUGCUUGCGAUCGAAUAAAAGAUCUGAACUGCAAGUGGGAAAUAAAUGUCAUGAGCUCA